rnacentral:lncRNA from 1 species
GUUUCUGAUGGUCUUCUAUCCACCCUACUUGGUAACAAAGUUCUCAGAUGUUAGGUCAUGUUUCAUUUGCUCAGUCGGGGAUCACUCAAAACUACUAGACAAAAAAGUGAGAGGAUAGAUUUAGAAAACAUCAGUGAUGCUCAGAUAAACUUUUAGGACCUCAUAUUAAGAGCUAAGCAAAUGGCCACAUUUCCUAUAUUUUGACAGAGAUACUGCUGGAAAAAUUAAAAUUAAAAUGCCAUAAUAGCUACCUAACAAAUAUAUAUGUUUAAUGUUUAUCAUAGGCCAGACAUUGUGCUAUGUGCAUAUCAUAUGUAUUAUUUCAUUUAAUUCUCACAACAAUUCUGUGAAAUGGUUACAGCUAUUAUAGUCAUUUCACAGAUGAUGAAACUAAGAUUCAGAGCAGCUGAUCUUGUGAGGCAGCUGGAAUUGGAACUCAGAUUUGUUGAACUCUAGAACUAAAGAUCAUAAUGUUGUCUUGUAAUAUAUUUAUUUACAAAACACUUCAUUAUUUAUAAAGAAUUUACUAACAGUUUAUCUUAUUUAUACCCAUACAUCUGCUACUUUGGGAGGCCCUUUACAUAGAAAACAGCAUUCUUUUUGCCAAAUAUGACCAAAUUACUUUUAUUUAUAAUUUUUGAUUUAUAUUUCAGCUAGAUCUAAAAAGCAUCUGAAGGAAUUUACAAUGAAAGAUACCUAUGCAAUAACAUUUAGGAUAAUCUUUGACAUUUUGGAAAAAUAAGAAUUGAGGAAAAAAAGUGUAUCUUUCAAGUAGAUGCAAAGCAUUAUAAUGACUGACACUUGUAUCUAACUCCAGUCUUACAGAUAACUAAGGCAAAAAGCUAAAUAAACAAUAUGUAACCUCUAACAUUUGGUAAAAGGAAGUAUACUGGUCUGUUAGCAGAGACAAACUUUUUUUAGAAUUGAAGUCUGAAACAAACAAAAGCAAUUCAAUGUCAAUAGACAUUAAGCAACAUAAUAGACAAACAUCUCCUAAGGGAACAUUUGUUACAGCUGCUCCUUCCCUGAACUGUGCUUUGGAAGAUAAGCUCUGUCCUGAGUCCAAACCAAGCCCUUCCAAGAGAGAACAAAGGUCAGAGAUGUUGAAGAUUCCAGCAAAUUUCUCCUCUUAUUUCUACCAAGCCUUUGUGAACAUUGCUCUUCAUUUUGGCCUGUACUUCUCCCUCAGGGACGUAGAACAAUGGAAUGUCAGUCAGUCUCUGUAGUUAAAACUUUUUCUUUAAAAUUCAAUUAAGGUACUUCUCCCUCAGGGACGUAGAACAAUGGAAUGUCAGUCAGUCUCUGUAGUUAAAACUUUUUCUUUAAAAUUCAAUUAAGUUACACCAGAAUUUACAGGCAAGAUUUUUUUUUUCAUUGCUCCCAUAAGCAAAUUUGUUUUAAAAUAAUUGUAAAUGAGGUAUAUACUUAGUUCUUGGUUAAAAAAUAUAUUGCUUUGUUAAGUAUUAAAGAUUAUUUGUAAGUCAUUGUAUUAAUAAUACUAAUAAAAUUUAUCAAGCCUUUAUAGCAAGGGUCAGUGAAUUACCACUGCCUGUGGGCCAAAUCUAGCUCACUAUCUGUUUUUGUAAAUAAAAUUUUAUAAUA